UCCGGGGGGCUAUACUGCAAGUCGUACGCACUGGGCCCAACUGAUUGAUGGGCUUGCACCUGAUUGACGAUGGAUCACCAGUGAGUGGCGGACGGGUGAGUAACACGUAGGUAACCUGCCCCGGAGCGGGGGAUAACAUUUGGAAACAGAUGCUAAUACCGCAUAACAACAAAAGCCACAUGGCUUUUGUUUGAAAGAUGGCUUUGGCUAUCACUCUGGGAUGGACCUGCGGUGCAUUAGCUAGUUGGUAAGGUAACGGCUUACCAAGGCGAUGAUGCAUAGCCGAGUUGAGAGACUGAUCGGCCACAAUGGAACUGAGACACGGUCCAUACUCCUACGGGAGGCAGCAGUAGGGAAUCUUCCACAAUGGGCGCAAGCCUGAUGGAGCAACACCGCGUGAGUGAAGAAGGGUUUCGGCUCGUAAAGCUCUGUUGUUGGAGAAGAACGUGCGUGAGAGUAACUGUUCACGCAGUGACGGUAUCCAACCAGAAAGUCACGGCUAACUACGUGCCAGCAGCCGCGGUAAUACGUAGGUGGCAAGCGUUAUCCGGAUUUAUUGGGCGUAAAGCGAGCGCAGGCGGUUGCUUAGGUCUGAUGUGAAAGCCUUCGGCUUAACCGAAGAAGUGCAUCGGAAACCGGGCGACUUGAGUGCAGAAGAGGACAGUGGAACUCCAUGUGUAGCGGUGGAAUGCGUAGAUAUAUGGAAGAACACCAGUGGCGAAGGCGGCUGUCUGGUCUGCAACUGACGCUGAGGCUCGAAAGCAUGGGUAGCGAACAGGAUUAGAUACCCUGGUAGUCCAUGCCGUAAACGAUGAGUGCUAGGUGUUGGAGGGUUUCCGCCCUUCAGUGCCGGAGCUAACGCAUUAAGCACUCCGCCUGGGGAGUACGACCGCAAGGUUGAAACUCAAAGGAAUUGACGGGGGCCCGCACAAGCGGUGGAGCAUGUGGUUUAAUUCGAAGCUACGCGAAGAACCUUACCAGGUCUUGACAUCUUGCGCUAACCUUAGAGAUAAGGCGUUCCCUUCGGGGACGCAAUGACAGGUGGUGCAUGGUCGUCGUCAGCUCGUGUCGUGAGAUGUUGGGUUAAGUCCCGCAACGAGCGCAACCCUUGUUACUAGUUGCCAGCAUUAAGUUGGGCACUCUAGUGAGACUGCCGGUGACAAACCGGAGGAAGGUGGGGACGACGUCAGAUCAUCAUGCCCCUUAUGACCUGGGCUACCACGUGCUACAUGGACGGUACAACG
rnacentral:rRNA from 1 species